UACGUAGGGUGCGAGCGUUGUCCGGAAUUAUUGGGCGUAAAGGGCUCGUAGGCGGUUUGUCGCGUCGGGAGUGAAAACACCGGGCUUAACUCGGUGCUGGCUUUCGAUACGGGCAGACUAGAGGUAUGCAGGGGAGAACGGAAUUCCUGGUGUAGCGGUGAAAUGCGCAGAUAUCAGGAGGAACACCGGUGGCGAAGGCGGUUCUCUGGGCCGUAACUGACGCUGAGGAGCGAAAGCGUGGGGAGCGAACAGG
rnacentral:rRNA from 1 species